UGUUAUAGUAACAAAACUUGGUGUUGGUGGACUGGCACCUUGGGCAAGUGAGUGGCUCAGCCAGCUGUGGCGAUGGGUUUGACCCUAAGUUGUUUUGGGUUCGAGCUAGGCGCCUGUCGCCGGAUUCUAAUGGCAUUUUGUGUGGUGUUUGAGGUUUCAAGAGAGCCAUCAUGCUUGGGAGGCGGUGGGUUUUAUUUUGUGUGGGAAGAGAAAAAAUCAGAAUAAUUU
rnacentral:misc_RNA from 1 species